rfam:Escherichia vulneris NBRC 102420 DNA, contig: EV10242028.
GUAGAUGCUCAUUCCAUCUCUUAUGCUCGCCGCAAGGCUUCAUAAACUCAGGAAUGACGCAGAGCCGUUUAAUGGUGCUUAUCGUCCACAGACAGAUGUCGCUCCGGCCUCAUCAAACACCAUGGACACAACGUUGAGUGAAGCACCAAAUUUGUUGUCACGCAGACCUGUUUAAUGCCCGCUCUGGUUUCAGAGCGGGCGUUUUUUU